rnacentral:rRNA from 1 species
GUCUACGGCCAUGCCACCCUGAACACGCCCGAUCCCGUCAGCUCUCAGAAGCUAAGCAGGGUCGGGUUAGUACUUAGAUGGGAGACCACCUAGCAAGACCAGGUGCUGUAGGUG